rnacentral:rRNA from 1 species
GACGAACGCUGGCGGCGUGCCUAAUACAUGCAAGUCGAGCGGACGAAUCGAAAGCUUGCUUUUGAUUCGUUAGCGGCGGACGGGUGAGUAACACGUGGGCAACCUGCCCUGUAGACGGGGAUAACACCGAGAAAUCUGUGCUAAUACCGGAUAACACGAAAUGUCGCAUGACGUUUCGUUGAAAGAGGGCGCAAGCGGUCGCUACAGGAGGGGCCCGCGGCGCUUUAGCUAGUUGGUGAGGUAACGGCUCACCAAGGCGACGAUGCGUAGCCGACCUGAGAGGGUGAUCGGCCACACUGGGACUGAGACACGGCCCAGACUCCUACGGGAGGCAGCAGUAAGGAAUCUUCCGCAAUGGACGAAAGUCUGACGGAGCAACGCCGCGUGAGCGAAGAAGGCCUUCGGGUCGUAAAGCUCUGUUGUUAGGGAAGAACAAGUAACGCAGUAACUGGCGUUACCGUGACGGUACCUAACGAGAAAGCCACGGCUAACUACGUG